UACGUAGGGUGCAAGCGUUGUCCGGAAUUAUUGGGCGUAAAGAGCUUGUAGGCGGUUUGUCGCGUCUGCUGUGAAAUUUCGGGGCUCAACCCCGAACUUGCAGUGGGUACGGGCAGACUAGAGUGUGGUAGGGGAGACUGGAAUUCCUGGUGUAGCGGUGAAAUGCGUUGAGAUCGGAAGGAACGCCAAAGGUGAAAACAGGUUGCUGGGAGUGUGCUGACGCUGAGACACGAAAGCCAGGGGAGCGAACGGGG
rnacentral:rRNA from 1 species